AGUGGGGAGUGCUAUCCUUUGCAUAUGCCGCCACCUCCCAAGGGGGCGUGAAUUUUCGCUGCUUGUCCUUUUCCUGCAUGCCGUUUAAUGAUAGAAUUCCAGGAGGUUUAAAAAUGGUUGGAAUUGGUGGCACUGCAUAACUGGGUGUCUACCUGAACUAAGACUGGGUGUCCAGGAAACCCUGUCACAGAAUUGAUUGGCAAAAGGAUGGUUAGGGGAGAUAGUUUGUUUUGUGUUGUAGGGGUAGCGGGCCCUUACAUGUUGUGGGUGCAAAACUAGCCACAAAAAAAUAGCGGACAAGCCGAAUACCCUUCUCCCAGAGGGAUUACAGAAUCCUGACUUGCAAAUGCUCUAGGCGGGAAGCCUCUCUUCUCCUCCCCCGGGACUUGACCUCGGGUCGGUAGCACCGCACUGAGCGUUGGCGGUGUGUCCGAAACCACUAGGGCAACGGCUGUCCUGUUUGAUGUAGCGAACCGUAACUCUAUACAUGCUGGUAAACAGCUACGUCACGGUUGUAGGCGGGGUUAAGCGUGCAUCUUCUGGGAUGCAACGUUAAGCCCCGUUUAGGUGGAACUGCGGAAUAAUGGAUGCAUAAAUCCUAAAACAAAAGUUUGGAUCAAAACAUGCGGACCACCAGCUGGUACUUGACCCCGAAAAA
rnacentral:snRNA from 1 species